rnacentral:lncRNA from 1 species
UCCCUCCCUUUCUUAGCUUGGAUAGUAUUUUCUGGAACCAUGGGCGCUCUAUGGCAAAGAAAAGGCUUCCAGAAGAAAACAAAUGCAUGACAAUGAAACAAAGUGAAGACUUUUACUGUAGUCUAUGCCAUGGUAAUGCAAUUUCUAACUGCCAGAUCCAGAACCAAGAGAACUGUUAUUGCUCAAAAAUUACCCAGUUUGUAGUAUUUUGCUAUAGCAACACAAAAUAGACUAAAACAGGUAAGGCAUGGUUUUAGUGUGGUACUCUUUCAAGUUGUUUUGCAGGAAUAGAAUUCUAUUUAGAAACAGAGUUAAUAAUAAUAUGUUAAGAGAAAGGAGAUAAGUGGAAAUAAGUCAUAAACACUGUGGUUUUGGACUCUGUUUAUGUUCCCUGUAGGAUGGGAGCAACAAAAUCCCCAGCUAUCUUUAGGAGUCAGAUAGAAGCAAGCAAGCAAAGGCAGGGAAAAGACACUCGAG